GACGAACGCUGGCGGCGUGCCUAACACAUGCAAGUCGAACGGAGCGAAUGAAAGCUUGCUUUUAUAAGCUUAGUGGCAAACGGGUGAGUAACACGUAGGCAACCUGCCGACAGGAUGGGGACAACAUUCCGAAAGGAAUGCUAAUACCGAAUGAAGUCGAGGGAGGGCAUCCUCCUCCGAUGAAAGAUGGCCUCUAUAUAUAAGCUAUCACCUGUCGAUGGGCCUGCGUCUGAUUAGCUGGUAGGUGAGGUAACGGCUCACCUAGGCGACGAUCAGUAGCCGGUCUGAGAGGAUGAACGGCCACAUUGGGACUGAGACACGGCCCAGACUCCUACGGGAGGCAGCAGUGGGGAAUCUUCCGCAAUGGGCGCAAGCCUGACGGAGCAACGCCGCGUGAGUGAAGAAGGUCUUCGGAUCGUAAAGCUCUGUUGAUGGGGACGAACGUGCCUAAUGCGAAUAGUAUUAGGUAAUGGCGGUACCCAUCGAGAAGCC
rnacentral:rRNA from 1 species